rnacentral:rRNA from 1 species
CUACGGGCGGCAGCAGUGGGGAAUAUUGCACAAUGGGCGCAAGCCUGAUGCAGCAACGCCGCGUGAGGGAUGAAGGCCUUCGGGUUGUAAACCUCUUUUAGCAGGGAAGAAGCGAAAGUGACGGUACCUGCAGAAAAAGCACCGGCUAACUACGUGCCAGCAGCCGCGGUAAUACGUAGGGUGCAAGCGUUGUCCGGAAUUAUUGGGCGUAAAGAGCUCGUAGGCGGUUUGUCACGUCUGCUGUGAAAAUCCAAGGCUCAACCUUGGACUUGCAGUGGGUACGGGCAGGCUAGAGUGCGGUAGGGGAGAUGGGAAUUCCUGGUGUAGCGGUGGAAUGCGCAGAUAUCAGGAGGAACACCAAUGGCGAAGGCACAUCUCUGGGCCGUAACUGACGCUGAGGAGCGAAAGCGUGGGGAGCGAACAGGAUUAGAUACCCUAGUAGUC